rnacentral:rRNA from 1 species
CUUUUAAUUGGAGGCUUGAAUGAAGGUAACUGUCUCGUAGUUUGGAUUUGAAAUUAACUUUUGUGUGAAAAGGCAUUAAUGUUUCAGGGGGACGAUAAGACCCUAUAAAGACUUUAUGAUUGGUCACCAAGGUUCACAUGAUGUGACGGUUAACUUGAACUUUAUGAGGAUCAUUGCGCUGGGGCGGCGCGGAUAUAAAUUGUAACUGUUCUUGGGAGUGAAAUAAUUAUAUUUAGCCAUUUUGACCCUGGAUUCUGGUUUAAAAGUGUAAGUUACUUUAGGGAUAACAGCGUU